GACGAACGCUGGCGGCGUGCUUAACACAUGCAAGUCGAACGAGGCCCCGCCUUCGGGUGGGUGUUCUAGUGGCGAACGGGUGAGUAACACGUGGGCAACCUGCCCCCGGCUCUGGGAUAA
rnacentral:rRNA from 1 species